rnacentral:rRNA from 1 species
ACUCCUACGGGAGGCAGCAGUGAGGAAUAUUGGACAAUGGGCGGGAGCCUGAUCCAGCCAUGCCGCGUGCAGGAAGACUGCCUAUGGGUUGUAAACUGCUUUUGUAGCAGGAACGAAACACUCCCUCGUGAGGGAGCUUGACGGUACUGAUAAGAAUAAGGAUCGGCUAACUCCGUGCCAGCAGCCGCGGUAAUACGGAGGGAUCCAAGCGUU